GAAGCACUGAGGCUCAGCCAGACCUGCAGGGAUCUGAAGAGCAUUGUUCUUUCCUGUUUUAACAUCCCAGGUCAACAGCCAUUCCCCAGUGACUGCUGAGUCCAGGGCUCUGAGCUUCCAGCUGAGAAAGCAGAUGAAAAAGCCACAAACCUGCCUUGAGAGGCUGGUGGUCUGGAAGGGGAGAGGACACAGAGAACAGACAAUGGAAUCAGUGCAGGAGUGAUGAGGGAAAAAGGAAGGACCACCUGAGGCUGACAAGCCCUGGAACCCCAACCCUCCAUUUACCGAGAAGUGCCUAAAGGUCAUGGGUGGCAUCCUGGGUGGUGAAGCACCUGUUACUUGGAAGUACUAAUGCUCCAUGGUCGUCAUCACCUUGCCAAGCCUAGCUCCUCCUAGGUCCAUGGUUGGAUCUGCAUGUCC
rnacentral:lncRNA from 1 species